GACGAACGCUGGCGGCGUGCUUAACACAUGCAAGUCGAACGGGAACCUUUAUUUCGGUAAAGGUGAGAGUGGCAAACGGGUGAGUAACACGUAGGCAAUCUGCCGACAGGAUGGGGACAACAUUCCGAAAGGAAUGCUAAUACCGAAUGGAGUCCGAGGAUGGCAUCAUCCUUGGAUAAAAGAUGGCCUCUGAAUAUGCUAUCGCCUGUCGAUGGGCCUGCGUCUGAUUAGCCAGUUGGCGGGGUAACGGCCCACCAAAGCGACGAUCAGUAGCCGGUCUGAGAGGAUGAACGGCCACAUUGGGACUGAGACACGGCCCAGACUCCUACGGGAGGCAGCAGUGGGGAAUCUUCCACAAUGGGCGAAAGCCUGAUGGAGCAACGCCGCGUGAGUGAAGAAGGUCUUCGGAUCGUAAAGCUCUGUUGCACGGGACGAAAACUGG
rnacentral:rRNA from 1 species